UGGGGAAUAUUGGACAAUGGAGGCAACUCUGAUCCAGCAAUUCUGUGUGUGUGAAGAAGGUUUUAGGACUGUAAAACACUUUUAGUAGGGAAGAAAGAAAUGACGGUACCUACAGAAGAAGCGACGGCUAAAUACGUGCCAGCAGCCGCGGUAAUACGUAUGUCGCGAGCGUUAUCCGGAAUUAUUGGGCUUAAAGGGCAUCUAGGCGGUUAAACAAGUUGAAGGUGAAAACCUGUGGCUCAACCAUAGGCUUGCCUACAAAACUGUAUAACUAGAGUACUGGAAAGGUGGGUGGAACUACACGAGUAGAGGUGAAAUUCGUAGAUAUGUGUAGGAAUGCCGAUGAUGAAGAUAACUCACUGGACAGCAACUGACGCUGAAGUGCGAAAGCUAGGGGAGCGAACAGG
rnacentral:rRNA from 1 species